GAGAAUAACAAAGAAAUACACUUGACACCAGUAGAAGAGAAACACACACCAAACCGGCAUCUAUGAACUAAGUGUAGAGGUUAAAACUGCAUGUGCUCAAAGAACACUGUUUGGAGACAUACAGUAUCUAAUCUAAGCAUAACUUUACAUUAACAACCCAUAUGAACUCCUAAUGAACUCAGUACUGUAGAAUUUAAGUUUCAUAUUCAGAAUGAACAAUGACUUAGAGUGGAAUUAAGACUAUGAAAACAAAGAACACUAGGGGAAGGAAUGGGCACAAAAUGAAGCUGAAAGCUUCAUAAAAUUGCAAUAUGGCACUUAUUCUGAAAUGGGACAAUCAUCUUUAGAAAAGGUUGGGGCAGAAGGUAAUUACAGCUUUUAUUCUGAAUUCAAUUAAAGCAGAUACUAUAGGCAUCACCAUAGAACUUUUUUCAGGUAAUUCAACAAUUAAACUGCUAUUCCUUAGUUCUCGAUCACAUAGAACAAUUCAAUUACACACUUGUGUGUAAGUAUAUGAACAAGCAGUUGCAUGUCUAAGGUUGUCACAGUUCUAACUCAUGAUUCUCAAUAAUGACACAAUAGAUAAUAAUAACUGCACAUAGCAAACUGCAAUAAUCAGAUCAAUAGAAUUUUGAAUGCAAUAAUCAGAUCAUUAGAAUGUUGAACCUAAAACAUCAAAAUAGUUUAUUAUGAAUUUUAACUUCAUUUUCUCCAUUCACUUUGUUCAUAAUAAUUUACACUUUCUUCAUUACAAAACUAAACUACUACUUCUUUGUUUCUGAUCUUCUUGUUUAUCCGAGUUAUUACCUGCCAUGUUAUUGAGUACCUUAGCUUUUAUAACCAGUCCUUGAUUCUCUUAUGGAAUUUGCAGUAAAUGCACAAAGACACUAGAGAAUAUAGAAUUAUUUCCGAAUUUGCAGCCAGUUAAACCAACUAGCCAAACGCAAGUCCUUAUUAAUCUCUCAGAUUUUCUUUCAUACACCAUGG
rnacentral:lncRNA from 1 species